rnacentral:tRNA from 1 species
AGUAAAGUCAGCUAAUCAAGCUUUUGGGCCCAUACCCCAAAAAUGUGGGUUGAAAUCCCCCCUUUACUA